GCCUUCCUAUAUUUGAAGGGAGUGUAUAAAUAGGAAAGGGAACGGGUUUUUACGAGGGUGGAUAGUGAUAGGACAAGGGGGAAUGGUUUUAAACUGAGAUGGGGAAGAUUUUGGUUAGAUAUUAGGAGGAAGUUUUUCACACAGAGGGUGGUGACACACUGGAACAGGUUGCCCAAGGAGGCUGUGGAUGCCCCAUGCCUGGAGGCAUUCAAGGCCAGGCUGGAUGUAGCUCUGGGCAGCCUGGUCUGGUGUUUGGUGACCCUGCACAUAG